GACGAACGCUGGCGGCGUGCUUAACACAUGCAAGUCGAGCGGAAAGGCCCUGCGUUUGUUGGGUUCUCGAUUGGCGAACAGGGGAGUAACACGUGAGUAACCUGCCCUUGUCUUUGUGAUAACUUCAGGAGACUGGGGCUAAUACCGGAUAUAAUCUCCUGCUGCGUAGUGUUGGUUGGAAAGUUUCGGCGUUUGUGGAUGGACUCGCGGCUUAUCCGCUUGUUGGUGGGGUAGUGGCUUACCAAGGCUUUGACGGGUAGCCGGCCUGAGAGGGUGACCGGCGACAUUGGGACUGAGAUACGGACCAGACUCCUACGGGCGGCAGCAGUGGGGAACAUUGCACAAUGGGCGGAAGUCUGAUGCAGAAACGCCGCGUGCGGGAUGACGGCUUUCGGGUUGUAAACAGCUUUGGAAUGUGACGAAGAGUGAGUGACGGUAAUGGGUAAAGAAGCAACGGCUAACUACGUG
rnacentral:rRNA from 1 species